GCGCAGGCCCAGCUCGCGGCCUGGCGGGACGACGGCCGACCGGCUUUCCCGGGCCGUGGCAGAAGGUGGCCCGGCGGGUGGCGGGGCCCACAGGCAGACGGGUUUUGCUUUGGAACAAGCCAGCGAAGGUGAAGAGGACCUGAAGCUGGCGGUGGCCCCAGCACCUAUUCCAGCAUCGUGCAGCCGCUCGAGUGGAAAGUCCGCUGACCGGCCUCGGGGGCAGGAGGCACCGCCCCUCCCAGCUUGUGUCCCUCAGCGCCUGGUGCACGGAGGAAAACUGACUUGGGGUGAAGUCCCACCGUGUUCAGCCAGAUUUGGCUGCCAAGAUGGAACUCCAGGCGGCUCACGCGAUUGCUUCCUGUUCUCAGUCUUAUGCCCACAACAACCACCCUGUGAGAGUCAUCGAAUCAUUGAGCGGGAAGGACCAGAAAGGCCUUCAGGCCCCUCACCCUGCUCAGUGCAGGAUGCCAACCUCAACCGUCCCUGGUGGGUGACGGUCCAGCUGCCUCAUGAAUGCCUCCAGUGUGGGAGAGCCCACCGCCUCCCCAGGACUUUGGUGCCGUUGUCGUCCUGCUCUGUCGGGAUAUUCCGCCUGGUGUC